GGGUCCAUAGUUUUAAUGGUAAAACAGCGGUCUCCAAAACCGUCGUUCUCCGUUCGAAUCGGAGUGGACCCGCCA
rnacentral:tRNA from 1 species